UGGGGAAUAUUGCACAAUGGGCGAAAGCCUGAUGCAGCGACGCCGCGUGAGGGAUGACGGCCUUCGGGUUGUAAACCUCUUUCAGCAGGGAAGAAGCGAAAGUGACGGUACCUGCAGAAGAAGCGCCGGCUAACUACGUGCCAGCAGCCGCGGUAAUACGUAGGGCGCAAGCGUUGUCCGGAAUUAUUGGGCGUAAAGAGCUCGUAGGCGGUUAGUCGCGUCUGCUGUGAAAACUCGAGGCUCAACCUCGGGCUUGCAGUGGGUACGGGCUGACUAGAGUGCGGUAGGGGUGACUGGAAUUCCUGGUGUAGCGGUGGAAUGCGCAGAUAUCAGGAGGAACACCGAUGGCGAAGGCAGGUCACUGGGCCGCAACUGACGCUGAGGAGCGAAAGCAUGGGGAGCGAACAGGAUUAGAUACCCUGGUAGUCCAUGCCGUAAACGUUGGGCACUAGGUGUGGGUCCAUUCCACGGAUUCCGUGCCGCAGCAAACGCAUUAAGUGCCCCGCCUGGGGAGUACGGCCGCAAGGCUAAAACUUAAAUGAAUUGACGGGGUCAUAGCUGUUUCCU
rnacentral:rRNA from 1 species